GUAAAAAGGGAACUAGAAGGGAUGGCGCCUAUGAAGGUGUACGGUUGGGCGGUGUCGCCAUGGAUGGCCCGGGUCCUCGUCUGCUUGGAGGAGGCCGGCGCCGAGUAUGAGAUCGUGCCCAUGAGCAGGAGCGGCGGCGAUCACCGGCAGCCGGACCACCUCGCCAGAAACCCCUUCGGUGAGAUCCCGGUGUUGGAGGAUGGCGACUUGACGCUUUACCGUAAGCCAUCAUGCUUUUUGAUUUUUGAGCUAUGUUUUUCUAGGUAGCUAUUGUACGAAGUAAGAAACUCCCUGGACCUGAUGUUAUUAUGGUGAUGCCUGCUAAUAAUCUCCAAGUCAGGUAAUUGACACCAAAGUUAUGAAUUAGCCAGGGGAGCACAUCAAACGUACCAGUUACCAGGUUGCACACGGCGAAGAGUUCUCUGUUGAACACAACAGAGCGGACGCCGACGCUGUGCACGUCAAGGCGCACGAGGAGGAGGCCGUGGCGCGAGACAAGGGGCACCGCGUGGUCGAAGAAGCCAGGAUUGUCUAGGUCGGGGAAGAAGGAGUUCAGAGAUCGGCAUUGAGAGCCCCAGACCGGUCGUGGCGCUGGGACCCUCUACGGGGCCGUCGCUGGACGAAACAGCCUCGGAAAGGGGCCGAGCGGCACGCGUCCUCCGGCAGGCAGCGGCGGAGGAAGGAGGGGUCGGCCAAUACGAGGCUGCGCCACCCCUUGCACGCCGUGGCGCAGCGGAAGAGAGUGGCCACGUCCUUGACGCGUUCGAGGAUCCGGAGGACCACGUCGUACGGGAGGGACGCCGCCGUCGCCUCGGCCAUGUUUCUUUCGAUCCGUGUGCGAUUGGAGGCCGAGCAGGAGCAGCAGAUCGAUCGGGACUCCUAGUGUGCUAACUGCCGCCCGGGUACAUCGUCUAUGUCCAACACGAGUUGAUUUUAUUUUUUUUAGAAAGUCACGAGUUGGAUUUUUUAGGGGUAAGACCGUACUUUUCUUCCUUUCGAUUCUUUUUUUCCCAUUAUUAUUUCCAAACUCCUUUUCUUUUCGUUUCUAUUUAGGAUUAAGAUAUCGAAAAAAAGGUCAAACCGUGUAUCUCCUUUUUGCGCUGGCCGGAGACGGGCGCAUGCACGUACUAUGAUCGUAUUUGCACGCUUGAGUCAAGUUAGAUGACCAUAAAAUCGUAUUUUUAAAGUUCUAAUAUCAAACUGAACAUACAACGCAAGUUCUAUGACUUUGGGUGAUAUUACCUCUAAACUGAACUAGUAGAAAUGCAAUUAAAUAACUGUUUUGAAUGAAGACUGAACCAAGACAGGGCAGCUAUAUUUAGCACUUAUGCUAGUUCACCAUGGAAGUAUCCUUCUCCUAUUGCAGAAUCCCCGGCUAGAAUACCAGAAAAACUGAAGUCCAAGAUCAAUUAGCGCAGCUCUGUUGAGGAGCGACGGAUCACGGAUACAUCCUGGUCACACAAGCUCUCUCCCUAUUGUUCCUCUUUUACCACCCCUUCCCAGCCGAAGACUAUAUGCCUGUGGUGUGCUAGCGCUAUACAUCCAAAUUUGCAAACCCUUCUAGUGAAAUCAAUAAAGAUCAUUCAUAUACGUAGAAGAUAAAUCAGCAGCGAGCCUACAUGAACUAAUAAUAUGCAUAGGCAUAUAAAAUUAUAUUUCUUUGACCUAUCAAUGAAGAAGACGGAAAUAGGCAUUAUUCAAGAUCAGUAGAUCUCUUAGGCAUUCAAGAACAAAACACGCAACAAAUAUUCAAUCACGACCUAGGCAGACAACUCCAGA
rnacentral:rRNA from 1 species